CAUUGUACAAGAGCCUUGAAUGAGCCUAUACCUAUCUGGUCUUUUGCCACAGUUUCUUGAACCAAACGAUUAACUUUUCCUUUUAAGCAAGCAUCCGUGCCCACAGGAAAACUACUACAUGAAAUCCCAUGCAGCUGAUUAUCCACCCCCGUGGAUCUAAUUGUGCCAUUCGGUGGUUUAUUCAGAAGGACUGGAAAACAACAACCACCUCUUUUUAGUCACACUAAUGACUUUAGCAUGACCACAGCGUGCUUGACUUGUUGGCUAGUUUUGAGUUUCAGCCUAAAAUUGCACAAAUAAUCUCUCUUUAUAAAGUGGAAAAGUUGUCAUAAUACAGGGCGGGUUUACUUCGAGGAACACUUACUUCACCGUUAUCUUGCUUGUGAUUGUAGUAAUUUGUUCGCUCCCCUUCAGUCCCUUGUCUGCUGACUGAUUGUUUUUACUUCAACUGUCUGUCAUCGCGGAAAAACAUCAUGGCAGAAUGCGUUCCGUCCAGAGCCACGGGAAUGGAAGGAGGGAUUGUGAUUAAAGAUGAUUGGCCCGGAUACAGUUUAGAGCUCUUCACUUAUCCAGAGCAUUACCGCGAAGAUAUAGAGAGUGUCUACAUUCCACAUGGGGUUAUCAUGGACAGGACAGAGCGCCUGGCCCGACACAUCAUGGAUGACAUUGGGGAUCAUGACAUGGUGGUGCUGUGUGUACUGAAGGGAGGGUACAAGUUCUGUUCCGACCUGGUGGAGUUCAUUAAGGUACAAUGCCGCAACUCCAACAAGCACCUGGAGACCAGAGUGGAGUUUAUUAGGCUUAAGAGCUACCUGAAUGACCAAUCAACAGAGGACCUGCACAUAAUAGGAAGUCAAGAUCUAUCUGUUCUACGAGGCAAGAAUGUCUUGAUUGUAGAGGCUAUAGUCGACACAGGAAAGACAAUGAAGGCGCUUCUGAAGCAUGUGGAGGCCUUUGAACCCAAGAUGGUAAAGGUUGCCGGUCUGCUGGUGAAAAGGGUCUCUAAUGUGGUUGGAAGCCUUCCAGACUGUAAAUGUGGGGUUUGAAAUUCCCAACCGUUUUGUCGUGGGCUAUGCUUUGGACUACAAUGAGUAUUUCCGUGACCUGAAUCAUAUCUGUGUCAUAAGUGAGAUUGGAAAGGUGAAGUACAAGAUUUGAAGAGAAGUCAACACAUACAUGGGUUGUUCAGAGUUGCAGUUUUCAACUUGUGGCUGCAAAUGCCUUCCCUUCUCAUAUCUUCUUCCGUGCUCUGUUGAGGAUUAUUGUUAGUUUAUUAAUUUCAUGAGAAGAAACACACCUUGCAUGUGCUUUAUGCAAAAACAAAUAUGAGAUCUGUGUUAUUCAUGCUACAUGCAACCUUGAUUGCCACAUUUUAAGAUUUUUUUUUUUUUACAUAUGCUAUUGUUUUUGUGAACAUCAUAUUACAUUGUUGACAGAAUAUGCUUUUACAUAAUAUGCAUUUAUAUGUAUUUGUAAAAUACUAAUUUUGUCCCCAAUGAUCUAAUAUGUGCAAAGCACAAAGAAAUAAACUAUGCAAUUUUGAAUAACAAA